rnacentral:lncRNA from 13 species
UAAAUAGUCGUAAACUCGUAUGACUCCCAGCGACUCUAUUUAGUUGUAUAGCUUCCAGUUAAUUUGCCGAUAGUCAGCACCUCUACACUAAUGUUCCCUGGGGAUGCUCCAGCUUGUUAUUAGAUACUAGAAGCCAACAACACUGGGUGGUGAUGUAAAAUACAAUAUGGCGACUUCAUUUUGCUUACUGUUUUCCGGGAAGGCAUUUGUCAUAGACGCUCACCCACACUCGACCAUUAAAAAGUUGUGGUUCCAAAUGUUUCCUCUCACAAGUUGUUAAGGAUUUAUUGUUGUAUUCGUCUACACAUGACAGAUACUUUUUGGUUAACAAAGUGUCAUUACAAGCUGCACAUGUACCCGAGUGUGUUUUGGUUACGCAUAUGGCUAUAAACUGGUUCCAGAUUGCCACAAGGCGUCCGGUAGCUUGACUUGUAACUGUCAAAGUUGAACCACCAGGCGUCAGGUAGCUUGACUUGUAACUGUCAAAGUUGAACCACCAGGCGUCAGGUAGCUUGACUUGUAACUGUCAAAGUUGAACCACCAGGCGUCAGGUAGCUUGACUUGUAACUGUCAAAGUUGAACCAAGAUACUUGUUCAUUUGUUCUCUAUAUGUUCUAGGUGCCGCCCUUUUAGAGAAGAGUCUCGCAAGGAACCUCCUCUGGACAAAGGGUAAGUCAGAACUUCUCUUCCCUGCUUUGGUUCCUUCAGUCUCCUCUUUCUGCUUUGGUGCCCAUGUAAGACUGGAGACCAGGGGAAGAUGUUCAACGAAUGAGCCCCCGUGGAUAUUUCUCAAAUAGAAAACGUUAAAACAGAAAUUUAUAUUUUUUUAAUGUUAUGUAACACAUUUGUCUACAUCCUUCACUUUAUUCAAUGUAAUCUUGUACACUACUGUUUCCUUAUGAUAUAACAUCAAUGUGCAUGCGCCGUCCUUAAUUGAGAACAUGUGAACGUGUGUUCAUUUUUCCAUUUGGCAUAUUAAUAUAAUAAACAUAGGCACAGACUAUCGGAAGAUUUUGAGUUUCUUUGGUAACAGUUUACUUGGACGCUGCCAUAGCCUACAUUAAUCGUGUUGCCAUAAUGACAAGAUGUCACAAAAACAAUCAUGACUUAGCCUGUCUGCUUAAUGACAACUGACUUAAAACAAACAUGACCCAACCAUGGUUUGAAUUUAAGGGGUGCUAGAAUAUGAACUUAAACAUCAGUGUGGACACCCCAAAGAGUGUGUAUAAUUUGAACCCUGAACAAAGUGUUAUUUAGGCAUGCUAAUUCCCACUAGUCAACUAGCUUCCAGUACCUACGUAGAUAACAUUGCCUGAACUUUGACAUGUUAUAUCGUCAUGACACCAAAGGGUUCAGGUAAGGUCUAACGAGAUAUUUUGUACAUUCAUUGACUGGUACACUAGUUCACUUAGCUGUCAUGUUCUACUUUGUGCAGCGAUCAGUAACACCCUGUCAAAGGAAAAGGCUUUCUAAAUGCACAG